CCCUUAGAUGUUCUGGGCUGCACGCGCGCUACACUGAUGCGUUCAACAAGUCUUAACCUUGGCCGAUAGGUCUGGGUAAUCUUUGAACGCUGUUCGUGAUUGGGAUAGACCUUUGCAAUUAUGGGUCUUCAACGAGGAAUUCCUAGUAAACGCAAGUCAUCAGCUUGCAUUGAUUACGUCCCUGCCCUUUGUACACACCGCCCGUCGCACCUACCGAUUGAAUGGUCCGGUGAAAUCUCGGGACGGCGGCUUGGUCGCUUGCGUCCGACUGCUGAAACUUGAUUAAACCAUAUCAUUUAGAGGAAGGUGAAGUCGUAACA
rnacentral:rRNA from 1 species